UGGUGGUUGUCGGUACGGAUGUUGCGGUGGCUGGUUUUUUGGACGGUGCAACUACUGUUGUCGUAGUCCACAAGCCGAGGAGACCGUGGAAACUGAAGCUGUUGAUGCCAACGUUGUUGAACCUCAGCAGGGGGGUCGUGGUGGCUGUAGAUACGGAUGUUGCGGAUCCUGGCGUUAUGGACGGUGCAGCUACUGUUGUCGCAGUCCACAAACCGAGACCGUGGAAACCGAAGCUGUUGAUGCCAACGUUGUUGAACCUCAGCAGGGGGGUCGUGGUGGCUGUAGAUACGGAUGUUGCGGAUCCUGGCGUUAUGGAAGGUGCAGCUACUGUUGUCGCAAUCCACAAACCGAGACCGUGGAAACCGAAGCUGUUGAUGCCAACGUUGUUGAACCUCAGCAGGGGGGUCGUGGUGGCUGUAGAUACGGAUGUUGCGGAUCCUGGCGUUAUGGACGGUGCAGCUACUGUUGCCGAGGUGCUCAAGCGGAGUCUGAAGGGCAGAAAAAGGAAGAAGCUAAGCCAUGAAUGGUGUGUAAAACAAACUCUAUGUUUGUAUGCAUGGAUGCAUGGUUUAUAUUACUGUUUCGUACGUAUGUCAAAAUAAGGAAAAAGUGUUGCUAUAAAGUCUAUAGCUCAAUAAAAAAAUGUCGUAGGUUCAUAUAAUAUGUGUUUUGUUAUGUAGUGUUUUCGUCGUGAAGAUUGUAAUAAUAACUACUGUUUAAAUACUAAAUCUUGGAUUGCAAUAUUUAAAUUAUAAUAAUGAAAAAGCAUGUGCCUAGGUCAAUGAAAACCACAUAGGUUUUAUGGUAUCACGUAGAUUUGUGAUCCUAAACAUGCAUUAUGAAAGACGACUUGACAUAUAAAAUAAAACUAAAGCGUUGGUUAGAAUAUCUUUAUUUAUUCUGUUUCAUUUUAAUGAUGUUUAAAGUUGAUGCAUAUUUAUUAAAAAUUCAACUUUGAUAAAUUUAUUUUAAUUUUAUAAAAGUAACAUCAAAUAAAAUUAGUAAACUAAUAAAAAUCUACAAUACUAUAUAAUUGGUCAUAAAUACAAAAAACAUUAAAUUUUUAUUUAAAACAAUGAGAACAUUACUUAUUUUGCACAAAAAAAUUCUUAAACAUCAAAUAAAUUGAAAUGUAGAAAGUAUCAUUAUAUGUUGUAUGAAUAACAAUUGAAGAUUUGUUUAGAUUUUAUACACUCCAGUGUAGGGAGUAUUCACCGAUCCAACCCAUAGAGUUCCAUCACGCUCCUCCACCUCACUUAUAGAGAUCCACUUAUUUCCAAUUGUACCCUGGAAAACCUCCGAUAUUACGCCACUACCUUCGCUCAACCUCACGGCCAUCCCGUUCCCUUUGUACUUAGCCCAAUACGAAUGAACUUUCAUCCAGUCCACCGGCAAGCCCAAAGCGGCGCGUCCUAGCCAGGCAUUCGACAUGGCGAACUUUGUCAGCUUUGAGUGUUUUGUAUUCAGGCCUACCCAAAAUCCACCACGUGGACACCUCUUUAUGUUGUCGGGGAACCCAGGGAGCCCCUCCGCGAAAAUCUCAUACUUCUCGUGAGAUUUAGAAACCGACCUGUCGUUGAGCCAGUAGCGUAGGACUCGAGAUGUGGCAGUCUCUGCCACGAGAAGGUAAUCCCCGUUUUGGCUCAUAACAACGCCGUUUGCGAACGCAAGGUUGCUUAGAAGAGUUGUCACUUGGUUCGUAUUUGGAUCGUAUUUCAUCAAUCUACCGGUUCUGUCCCCACUCAUUAUUGCACCUAUAUAAUUCCUGAAAAAAUUAAACAAUUUACGCUCUUAUAUGUAAGAUGAAUCAUGAAUGAUCGAAUAUUUGCAGAAUUUUAAGUUAUAAAAAAAAAAAAAAGGAAAAAGAUAUUUGCAGAAUUUUACCUUCGUUGAUAAACCGAACUACUAUCAGUGAAGUAGACAACUCCAGUCCGUGGAUCUAUUUCCACAGCGUUGGUAAACCUAAGGGGCUUAUCCAGCUGACGUGUAGAUACUUGAUUGGCUAAACCACCUUCUCGACCAACUUUAAGAAGUCCCAUAUAAGCAUCGGCAAUAUAAAGAUCACCAGUGGAUUUUUCAAAGGCCAGGCCCAAUGGUCGACCACACUCAUGUUCCGUUCGUUGGUGCUCGUGCGGGCCCUCGCAACCUUCUCUGCAUUUAAUUAAAACGUUAAAUACAAUAGUCAUCCAAGUGUUAAGGAACCCUAAGUGUGAACAAUGAACAGAUCCCAUCAUAAGUAACUAUUUUCAUAACUAUAACUAUUCUUUUAUAUCAAGGCUACCAUCAACGCUGGGUUUAAUGAGUUGUUUAAUUUUUUUUUUUUUUUUUGCUAAAUUGUAAAUAUCAUAGAUGAAAGGAAAAUUUUACAAAGUAAAGACCUUAGUUCUGCACCAUCUUGGCAAAAAAGAAUAAAAACAAGAUGAGACAAAAGAAAUAAACACCAACAAAAGAUAGGUAAGCUAGUUUUAUCUCAAUCAAAAGAUCAUGAGAGGCUUGAAGCGCUUGUUGUGUCUCCUGGAGGAAAUGAUGUUUCUGAUCUCCCUGUCUAUACCAUGAAACACAAUAAGACCUUAGUUGUUUAAUUUUCUUUACAUGAUUGUUGUGAUAAUGAGAUAAUGAUAUGUAAUAUUUAGAUAAUGAUGUAAAUAUUAGAGGGUUUAUCUCUAAUAUAGUCGGCUAAGUAGAUAAGGCCAAAGUCGAGUUGUAUAUAAAGAGCUCCAAGCUCACGAUCAAUAACACAAAAUAUUCAGCAUUACUUUACUUUACAUGGUAUCAGAGCAUAGAUCCAACUAAAGAUUUAUACUCGUUUUUUUCUUCUUUUCAUAACUUAUCUCUCUUUGUGAUCAUCAUCUACGAUCAUGGGAGACGACAAGGUAGUUGUGGCUGGCGUGACCGGCGAAAAGGGAGCAAGUUCUCCUUAUUCAAUCUUUGCUUCUGAUAAUCCAGGAGCUUUGAUCACCUCUGUUCAGUUGAAAGGUGAAAAUUAUAACGAGUGGGCUACGAAGAUGUUGAACGCACUUCAAGCCAAAAGGAAGGCAGGUUUCGUUGAUGGUACGUUGCAGAAGCCGCCUGAGGGACACGUAGACUUGGAAAGUUGGCUUAGUGUCAAUUCUAUGAUUGUCGGUUGGCUGAGGACGUCGAUCGAACCAAAAGUAAGGUCGACCGUGACCUUUAUUACUGACGCACACAAGCUUUGGGAGAAUCUAAGAGAAAGGUUCUCAGUGGGGAAUAAGGUGCGAGUUCAUCAGUUGAUGGCAAAGCUUGCCUCGUGUAGGCAAGAUGGAGACGCGGUGAUCGAUUACUAUGGGCGACUUGCGAAGAUGUGGGAGGAGUUGCAAACAUAUCAACCACCACCUACGUGUACCUGAGAUGCAGCAGCUCUUUACGAGAAGGAAAGAGAGGAUGAACGUGUUCAUCAAUUUGUUAUGGGGCUAGAUGAAUCACGUUUUGGGCAUGUUGUUACGGCCAUAAUCGAAGCAGACGCUCUACCGGAUCUUGGAAAGGCACACAACAAGAUAGUUAGAGAGGAGGAUCGCUUGAAUUCAGCAAAGACACGGGAACAACAGCAAGAUGCCGUUGGUUUUGUGUCUCGGCGUGAAAAUAGUAAUGGUGAUUUGAGUGGAGGACGUGGAGGAGUGCGUGAUGAGUUUGGUUCAUCAACGUCAAACUCACAAAACAGAGGAAAAGAUAGAAGUUGCUCAAAUUGCGGUAGAACCGGUCACGAUAAGAACACAUGUUGGCAGUUGAUCGGCUAUCCUGAGUGGUUUACAGAACGAGGAGGACGAGGAACUCGUGGUACAAGUAGAGGAGGAGGACGCAGUGGAGCAAGCAGAGGAAGGGGUCAGUCUAACGCUGCUUACGCUACCAGUGCCAAUCCCGGUGCAACAAUUCCUGAGCUUACCGCAGAGCAAUGGAGAGCUAUAAGUCAGAUACUCCAGGAGAAGCCCAGUGGUAGUUCAGAUAAAAUGUCUGGUAAGAAAUUGGGAGAUGUGAUACUUGAUACAGGAGCAUCGCACCAUAUGACUGGUGAUAUCAAUCUACUUAUUAAUCUUGAAGAUAUCUCUUCAUGUAAGAUCGGAUUUGCUGAUGGAAGUAGUACGGUUGCAAAGAAGAUAGGCGUGUUGCCUUUGUCCGACCGUAUCUCGUUAUAUGGAGUUUUAUACGUACCAGACUUGAAUUACUCAUUGAUCUCUGUCUCGAAACUCCUCAAGCAAUCAAAUUGUUUUGCGUUUUUCACAGAUACGUUGUGUGUUUUGCAGGACCGGUGUUCGAGGACGCUGAUUGGAGCAGGUGAGGAGCGUGAUGGGGUGUACUAUUUCACGGAUGCUAAAGCUGCUCGUGUCAACAAAGCUGCGAAGGUCGAGGAUAAGGUUUUGUGGCAUCAGCAACUCGGACAUCCAGGGUUUUCAGUUUAAUCUUCUUUAUCUGUGUUUUCUGGUGUUAAAGAUUCUGCAAGUUUAGAUUCAUGUGAGGUCUGUUUUAAGGCUAAGCAAGCAAGAGAUUUGUUUCCCGAAAGUUUAAUAAAACUAAAGCAUGUUUUGAGUUGAUUCAUAUUGAUGUCUGGGGGCCAUAUCGAGUUCAGGCCUCUAACGGAGCUUCAUAUUUUUUAACCGUGGUAGACGACUAUUCACGUACUGUAUGGACCUAUUUGCUUCUCGAGAAAUCAGAAGUUAAAGAAGUGGUGCAGAAAUUUUACGCUUAUGCAGAGACACAGUUUGGAAAGCGAAUCAAGAAGGUUCAAAGUGAUAAUGGCACAGAGUUUGUGUGCCUUGGCUCAUUUUUCAAGUCAAAAGGGAUAAUACAUCAAACUUCAUGUGUGGGAACGCCGCAGCAGAACGGUAGAGUAGAAAGGAAACAUCGUCAUUUGUUAAACGUAGCGAGAUCAUUGAUGUUUCAGGCGAAGAUGCCAAUCAAGUUCUGGGGGGAAGCUGUGCUUACAGCGGCUCAUGUCAUUAAUCUUACUCCAACCAGAAUACUGAAAGGAAAGUGUCCUCAUGAGGUGUUGUUCGGGUCCACUCCAUCGUACUCGAAGCUACGAGUGUUUGGCUCUUUGUGCUUUGCACAUAAGCAACUACGCGACAAGAACAAGUUUGUUCCUCGCAGUAGAAAGUGUGUGUUUGUCGGAUAUCCUUUCGGGAAAAAGGGUUGGAAGUUAUAUGAUUUGGAAACCGGUGAGUUUUUUGUGUCUCGGGAUGUAGUUUUCAGAGAGGAAAAGUUUCCAUUUUCUGAAGUUGUCGCAGAGAAGCCCUCUCCUGUCAGUAUGGAGAGUUUUGAUGAUGAGUUGGUAACAAGCGAUGUGGAGGUUGUUGAGGCUAGGGGGAGUAAUGUCGAUCAGUCUGAGGAAACACUAGCCUCACAGGACUCUGCAAUCAUUGAAGUUGGGCCAGAGGUUUCGAGUACUAAUGAACAAGACAAUGUAGCUCCAGUAGAAGCUCCAGCAAAUACUCCGCCGGAAACAGAGAGCUCGCUUGGUAGAGGACAAUGUGUUAAACAACCUUCUGUAAGGUUAAACGAUUACGUCACCUACAAGACAGCAUGCAGUAAUAGUACCCCUCACGUCCUCACCACCGAUCGCUCUUUCAGUGUCUACUUCGACCCUGUCUCAGGUAAUACUUUGUACCCACUUACUGAAUAUAUUUCAGAUGAACAAUUUUCUGGCGGACACAAAGCUUUUCUUGCAGCUGUUUGUGCUGAUAGUGAGCCUAAGAAUUUUAAAGAAGCUAUGCGUGAUAAGAGGUGGACAAAAGCUGUUUACAAAGAAGUUGAUGCACUAGAGGUCGCACACACUUGGAGCGUGGUUGAUUUGCCUCCUGGCCGAGUGGCUUUGGGAACAAUGUGGGUCUUUAAAAUCAAAUAUAAUGCUGACGGGACUGUGGAACGGUUCAAGACAAGGUUGGUGGUGCUUGGAAACCGCCAGAAAGCUGGUUGUGAUUAUGAUGAAACGUUUGCUCCAGUUGCAAAAAUGACUACGGUACGAAGCCUAUUGAAGAUAGUAGCUACUCAGGAUUGGGAGGUACAUCAGAUGGAUGUGCACAACGCUUUUCUCCAUGGUGAUUUGGAGGAAGAAGUGUAUAUCAAGCUUCCGCAGGGUGUCAAUAACUCAGAUCCAAACAAAGUGUGUCGGUUACAUAAAUCUCUUUAUGAACUAAAGCAAGCUCCUCGGUGUUGGUUUGAAAAGCUCACAAAGGCACUGAUCAAGGCAGGGUUUGUUCAAUCUCUGUCCGAUUAUUCUUUGUUCAUUUACUCACGUGGUACUGUUGAGAUUCGAGUGUUGAUUUAUGUGGAUGAUCUCAUUGUUUGUGGGAAUGAUGGUGAAGCAAUUACAAAGUUUAAAGGCUAUCUUGGUGAAUGUUUUCACAUGAAAGAUCUAGGGAGGUUGAAGUACUUUCUUGGAAUCGAGAUUGGGCGUAAUAAAGAAGGUUUUGUGCUGAGUCAAAGAAAGUAUGCUUUGGACAUUGUUAAGGAGACUGAUCAGGUUGAUUCAAAGCCUGUUGCAACUCCCAUGGAACAGAAUCAUCAUCUUGCUAGAGACGACAGCCCCUUCACGGCUGAACCGGCGCGUUAUAGACGUCUAGUAGGAAGGCUCAUCUACCUUACUAAUACGCGACCUGAUAUAUCUUACUCAAUACAUAUACUGUCUCAGUUCAUGCAGAAACCACGAGAAGGUCAUAUGGAAGCAGCACUGCGUGUGGUGCGGUUUCUCAAAGGGACAGUCGGGCAAGGGAUAUUGCUCAAAUCAGAAACGGAUCUGCAGGUCUCCAUCUACUGCGACGCUGAUUGGGCGGCGUGUCCACUAACUAGAAGGUCGUUGACUGCUUAUGUUGCCAUGAUAGGAGGUUCUCCAGUUUCUUGGAAAACAAAGAAACAGAAAGUAGUGUCGCAUUCUUCGGCCGAGGCAGAGUAUCGCGCCAUGUCUAUUGCAACUCAUGAGGUGCAAUGGCUGCGACAGCUCUUGAGGGAUUUGGGUUUCACGCAAAAAACUCCAUCUCGUCUUUAUUGUGAUAGUAAGUCCGCGAUAUAUAAAGCCACGAAUCCGGUAUUUCAUGAACGCACUAAACACGUAGAGAUCGAUUGUCAUCGUAUGCGUGAUGCUCUGAAGUCACGAGUGAUUACUGCAACACAUAUUGGUACUAAAGAGCAACUGGCGGACGUUUUAACAAAAGCUUUGGGGAAGGUUCAGUUCAAUCAUCUUAUGUCCAAGUUGGGCAUUUGUAGUACGCAUACUCCAACUUGAGGGGGAGUGUUGUGAUAAUGAGAUAAUGAUAUGUAAUAUUUAGAUAAUGAUGUAAAUAUUAAAGAGUUUAUCUCUAAUAUAGUCGGCUAAGUAGAUAAGGCCAAAGUCGAGUUGUAUAUACAGAGCUCCAAGCUCACGAUCAAUAACACAAAAUAUUCAGCAUUACUUUGCUUUACAAUGAUUGUUAUUCCAUCCUUUUGCUUAGUGGUAUAUUGAAUAAAUGCAUUGCUGUCUAUCUAAAAUAUGCUGUAAUCUUUCUGAAAACGUGUAUAGAAAAUAUAACAGUUUUAGCACAGAUCUGGACCACCAAAAAGUCAAUAUCAAAUUUCCCAUCUUGGUUGUGUACUCAUGACUCCAGUAAAUAAAAAGAAUGUAAGUUAAAAAAAAAGAAGAAGAAUGCAGCAUUUUCACACAGCAACAGAUAAAAUAAUCAAAGGAAACUAAAGAAGCAAUUAAGUUGCAUAGUCAAAUGUGCAUAUAUAUAUAAUCAAUGCACAUGGAAAUUGAAUUUUAAGAUCCCUUCAAAAUGGGAACUUCACAUGCAUGCCCAGAUAACAAAUUGUGAUUCAGAAAGUUAAACUUGCAACUCAAAACAGCCAAGUUGACCACGUGAAAACUGAAGUACAUAUGCAGAAACAAAAGAAGUACCUUUCAUUUGGUCAGGAACUCAUAACUAAUUGUAUCAUAAAUAGUUUAGUUAUAUUCAAAAGAUUAAAGUCAAACACUGUUGGCAUUUCAAAGGAUAAUUUUAUUAUUCUGAUAAUUUAGAUCGUUUAUCUCGGUAGGGCAAAGGGAGUUAGUUGGAUACAGUUGAAGGAUUUUGCUUUAUUUUUCGGUUCAAUUUUUUUUGGCUCAACUUCAACUUAUAUCAACCAAAUUUGAAUUGACAAUCUUAUCCAAUUUCUACAUUUUGAUCACAAAUACACAGUUAAGAUUGAUAUAUAUCACCUAAAAACAUUCAAAAGGCUAUCUACGCUACUCUAUCAAAACCUAUAGUGUGCACGAAAAAGACUUACAAAACAAAUUCAAAUACCCAGGGUUUAUUAUGAAGAUACAUUCCCAAUAAAAGUGGAAAAUGAAAAGGAGAAAUAAUUGUGUACCUUGUUGGAGUGGUGACGGCGAAAUCCAUCCAACGACUCUCAUUAGCUGUCCACUUAACAAUUCGACCAUCAGAUAAACCGGUGAAUGGACCGUCGCCGUAGAAAUCGAAGGCGAAACUCUCCGGUCCCAAAGCGCCGGUGGUAGGAAUCAGAUGGAAGUCAGGGAAAUGAACUGUCAACAUUGACUCUCCAUGUUUUGGACUCUCGCCAGAAGAAUCGAAGAGGCUUAAGAGAAGGGCAAAUGAUAUCGCCAACACAAAGAAGAGUUUCAUCAUUCUCCCUUUUCUUCCCACCCUAAACUGUGGCUUGUGGUAAGAGUGAUUAUUCUCUUAUAUAUAAACUAAUGUCAAAAUUAAUAAAUAGUUAUUCUUAUACAUGUCGACUUCGUGUCAAAAACUCAACACUAAAUAGUUAUAUUAUUGUAUUCUUGGGGUUCGUGGAUCAUGCAUUCGUCAUCAUGCAUUUGUUAGUUCAUAUGUUAAUUUUUUUCUGUUCAAACAUUUCUUUCUUACUGCUUUAUUAUGAAAGAUACAUUUCCUUCUUACUUACCAGACAUUCAUACAUGAUACUACUCACGUAACUAACAUUGUCAAGAUAAAAGUUUUGCCGUUUAUGGAAUGAGAUUACAAAGAAAUCAAACAAUAUAUUCUUCUAGUCUGCCUCAAUUCGUGUAUCAAUUAUGCAUAUAUGACAUAUAAAGUUUCAAUGAUUAUAUAUAAUUUGUCCGGACGAGGUAGUCCAAGUGGCAGGACGGGCCUGUGGUGGCAACCACCAUCCGGGUUCGAUUCCCUCCCCAUGCGGAAACUACCCUGCCUCUUCUGGACACCAAAGCGGUACUGGGUUCGAUCCAACCUAGGUAAAGUCCUCCCGGGUGAAGUGGACCGCUGUCUGACCGGACCCAGGGGAAUGACCCGCGAAGCGGGGAACCCCUGGAUUAUCAAAAAAAAAAUGAUUAUAUAUAAUAUGAUUAUUCAUUUCUAAAUUGUCUAUAAAUAAACAUUUAAACAAAAAAAAGUAAAAUUCAUACUCUCUCUGUUUUUAAUAUAAGUCGUUUUAUAAUUGUGCACGUAGAUUAAGAAAAUCAUUAUUUUUUUAUAUUUUCUAAACAAAAACAUUAUUAAUUAUUUACCUAACCACAAAUCAACCAAUAAUAAAAUAGAAUGUAUAUUAUCAUUGGUCAUAUAACAUUAAGUGUUAAUAAAUUUUACAUAGAAAAACGAAAACGUCAUAUAAUUUGAAACAAAAAAAUUUCUUUAAAACGAUUUAUAUUAAAAAAACGGAAGGAGUAUUAUAUUUCUCUUAUUAAAACAAAAACAUUCACUUGGACCCAAUUAUUUUUGUAAGAUUUUAAAUUAAAUAUAUCCUUAUACUAUAAAGUUAUACCCACAUGUAUCUAUUAAAUUAUUCCUUCCUUAUAAGUUGAAUGUUUUAGGAAAUAAAAUAACCAACACUUUUAAUUAUAUAUUUUUAUUUCUUUACAAACCAACAUUUUUUAGAUAUAUCUAUUAAUUAGCUUUUUUUUUGAAUCAAAACCUGCCCAACCGAAUGCAUAUAUAUAAUAAAAUUAUUUUAAUAACUAAUGUAAGUACGUGGAAGCCUCCUUGGUCCAGUGGUUUGAUUAAUGGUUCAUUAAUGCUUCUACACCAUGAGGUCUGGGGUUCAAAUUAUGCAGAUUCCGGCGAAAAAAAGUUACAACAGGUUUAAAAUAAAAAACUAAUCUAAGUACAUGUUUUCUGUAAUUUAUUUUUUAAUAAAAUUGAAAACAUGACCCGCUCGGAUACGCCAGUCCAGAUCUAGUUAGAUGGAGUAUGUUUGUGAUUUUUUAUGCAUAGUAUACAUGUAGAUGGUAUGAUUGCUUACAAAACGCCGGAGAUCGAGGGAUCACAUUUAGAUCAUUGUAUUAAAAGUAGAUAUAUUUUGCGUAUUCUCUGUAAUUUUCCCCAAAAAAUUCUGCAGAUUUGAUGUUUAUCUAAUUAGCAUCAGUUUUACAGGUUUGGGUAAAGUAAUGUUAUUCGACGACCAAAACAAAUUAUAUAUGGAAAAUUAACAUUUUCCUUACACAGAAAAUUAAACGUUGAAUGAGGAAGAAUGGAAGAGGUAAAAGACAAAAAUACAUUUAUAUCAUAGCAUUAACUAAUCUAGAUUUAAGGUUUAGAAUUAAAGAGUUGAAUUUUGAAAAUAUGAUUUCAAAUUAAAAAAAUAGAACAUUUAUAUUAAAAUUUUCAAAAUAAAAAUGAUUAUUUUGGUUAUUUUUCUAAUUAAAUACUAUUUUUGUGACAAAAAAAAAUUAAAAUGGUUACUUGAGAAAAUUGCUCAAAUUUAAACAUUUAAAACCAAAAAUAAUAUAAAACCACAACGCGAUCAAUAUCUUAAUACUUACAUUUUAUUUUGUAACAAAAAAUAAAUGUUUUUUUGUUCACCAAAUAAUAAAUGCUUUUGUUUGAUUUUUUAGGCAUAAAUAAAACAUAAUUUUUUAAUGAUAAUAAUUAUAAUUAUAAUAAUUAAAAAAAGACAAAGGAGGUUGGAGGAGGUGAAUCGCAGGAGAAGGGGGGCAAUGGACAGAAAAAGAAAAGGCAUGCAGCCCCACUCAGCAACCUAUUCGUUUUUUUGGUAAAAACAUCCUAUUCGUUGUGUUGCCUUCUGAAUUCUGACCAUUUUAAAAUUUUUGUUUGCCAUCAAACCCAUCCAAACAAACAAUGCCAUAAACAUCAGAGUCAAUUAAAGGAAAUAAUCAUAUAAAAGAAUGUGACAACCAUAUUAGUAGAAGAGAACAAGAAUGUGACCACAUAUUGUUUACAAGUAUCCCGUUUUUAUCUUGUCUAUUAUGGUUAGUGGUCUGAACUGCACAGGCUGGUCAUAAGCCUCGCACCUUUUCAGAUUGGUUUAUGAACUUCAGAUUUUAUUUUGAACUUCGAAAAUUAUAUAUCAUGGGAUUAUAAGUAUACAAACAUAUACAGAAAAGGUAUACAAACACAUAAAAGAAGCUUUGGCCUACCAGAAUAUAUUCUGAUAUAGAAGUAAUAGCCAACAUAAAUAAGAAUUUGAAACUGAAAAUUUCGUUUCUUACAGUGAAUGUGUCAACAGUGCCAUGCGAAAGCGCAUAGUAUCAUCCUUUGCUAGUUCAAUUGCUAUUCGGUUAUCUAAAUUAUGCGUUUUAAAUUGGCACUUUUUUGUUCCAUCAUGAGAUAUUCCUCUCUUUGAGCUUGUAGAUAGGAUUUAACAAUUUACUUAUUAGUUGAAUAUAUUAACAUUAAAACCCGAAAAUACUCGAAAAUAUAAUCAAAUUGAAUAAGCCUUUCUUCAAAAAAAAAAAAAAAUCAAAUUGAAAGAAAAAAAUGGAAGUGAACCAUAGGGAAAUCAAAAUCUCCUUUAACAAAAGAGGAAGCCAACAUUUCAGUAAAUUAUAAAACCAAAAGUCUUGAAAGGCUUUAUAAGUUUAAGAGCAAACCUAACCGGAUACCGCAAAUACUUUUUAUAAACUAAUUAUCAAAUCUACACACAUGGGAAAAUGACAGUGUAGGAGCACAAUAGAUUCUAUAAUGACGGUACAGAUUUAAAACAGUUCAAGGAAGCCGUAACUUUAGAUCACUGACGAUCGAGAACCCAAACAGAAGGCAGAAACACAGACCCAAACCAAAGCUUACCAUCUCUCUCUUGAACCUCACUUACGAAUUUCAUAUUCUUCCCUUCACUAUCCUCAAGAACCUCCAUAACCUCACCGGUCUUGCCGCAGAGCUUCACGGCACCUGCAUGAGGCUUUCCUCCUUCAAAUAGAAAAACCAACAGGUCCAUAUUCAACGUUUUCAUGAAAAACUUCCCAAUCCACGGAUGCAUCAACGAAAGCCUAGAAAACGGAGUUUUCUUAGAAUGCAAGGCAACCCAAAAAUCCCCUGUCUCGGUCCUCCUGAUGUUAUCAGCGUAGCCCGGGAGCUUAGCGAAUAUGUCGCGGGUCCCUGCUUUAGGUCCUUUGACCCAAUAUCGAUGAACAAGUUGCGUUGGAACCUCACAGGAAAGCACGAACGAACCAUCUUUGCUUAUGGCAAGACCAUUAGGGAAAUGUAGACCGUCCAUUAUAACUUUGGCCUCUUUUGUCUUCUUGUCAUAUCGAAUCGCUCUUCCCGUCUUUUCGCCACACAGAAACGCGUAGAAUACGUCCCUGAUCCAUGCACGAACGUAAUAAUUUUAGCAUAUGUCGACAGAAAGUAAAUUUAUACGUUUUACUAAUAACUUGGUAAAAAAAAAAAACUUGGUAAAAAAGAAAAGUGGAUUUUUCUUUGGGUUUACAUGUUAUAAUGAAACCAAAAAUUAGUACUUAAAUAUAUAAUUUCUUGUUUUGAAAAGCUCAUGAUAUCAUUGCAUCACCAUUAUAUUCCAAUAUAUACAUUGAUGCGAGCAAUGCUUUUGUGGACCAUAAGUAAUUUUUCUGCCUAUGGGAUGUUGUCUAGAUGGACUACACAUGGGAGAUUAACUUGUACAUAUUGUAAUGGAACGACAUAUGCGUUUCAACUGAAGAAUGGUAGGAAGACAAGUUGGUUUGAUUGUCACCCUCGAUUUCUUCCCAUUGGCCAUCCUUACCGAAGAAACAAGAAUUUUUUUAGGCACAAAAGGGUUGUGAGAGACACUCCUCCUCCAUACCUAACUGGAGAACAAAUUGAAGCGCAAAUCGACUACUACGGAGCUAACGAAACAGUUCGUUGGGGUGGUAAUUGGCAUGUCCCUCGUAAUAUGCCAGAUUCUUACACGCGAAGGCGAAAGUUCGCUUGUUGGACACAGUUUCCAACUGGAAGGGUGACUGGAUCGUGAAGGGGUAUGAGCGUGGCAACCCCGCUGAGCUCACCACGGAUGUGUGGGAUGGCCUCAUCCGUUAUUGGCGUCUUCCUGAUUCUAUUAGAAUCGCCCAGUCUUGCCCUAACUCCCGUAACACGGUCGAUGAGCACGGAAACGGGCCGAUGCUUUAUGGAACGACUACUGCCUUUUGCAUUUGAGGAGCUACUUCCAACAAACGUACAUGAAGCACUUGCAAGUACGUAGUGUACAUGAAGAGGGUGAGGAAGAAGUUUAACGCGAAGGCGAAAGUUCGCUUGUUGGACACAGUUUCCAACUGGAAGGGUGACUGGAUCGUGAAGGGGUAUGAGCGUGGCAAACCCGCUGAGCUCACCACGGAUGUGUGGGAUGGCCUCAUCCGUUAUUGGCGUCUUCCUGAUUCUAUUAGAAUCGCCCAGUCUUGCCCUAACUCCCGUAACACGGUCGAUGAGCACGGAAACGGGCCGAUGCUUUACACUACGGGCCAAACACCCCACGCCGGUAUCCGUUUGCAAAUGGUAAUUAAAUAUUUUAUUAAAUAAAAUUUUUAAUAGAUAUUUUUAUUCUAACUUUCUUAUUUUUAAUAAAUAUUUUUAUUUUUUGGGACAUCUCCCGUCUCUUAUGGAACUUUACGAGAGGACCCACAAGAACAAGGCGAGCGUAUUUGUAGAUGGCAAGUCCGAGCAAAUCUACAACGACGUGGUUGCUCGGGUUGAAGACCGCCAGACUCAGCUGACCCAGCAGUCUACCGACGGAUUACCCGUCACCUUAUCCACACUUGAAGUGGAUAAGAUUUACGAGGAGGUAAAUUUUCAAAAAUUUUAAUUUUUUAUUAUUCAUUUAAUUUAACUUUAAAUUUUUACUAACAAUAUUUAUUUUUUGUUUUUAAGGUUGUCCCUAAAAAAAAGGGACGGACGUUGGGGAUUGGUUCCGUCAACGAUGUUCCGAGAGCGACAUCGUCUUAUGGUCAGCGACGGGAUGAUGAAGUCACUGAGCUGCGUAACGAGUUGGCCGCGACAAAAUCUCGUAUGGGUGGAGUCGAGGGCUUCUUGGACGUUAUAGUGGCCACAAAUCCGGAAUGGGAGUCCAUGUUGAGGAACAUGCAACAACAACAUCCCAUUCAAGGCGAGUCAUCCGACAUACAUAACGAGGCGGAUGUUGCAAGGAGGAGUGAUGAAUUCUACCAGGCGAUGAACAACCCUUAGUUCUUUUUUUCCGGUUGUUGUAUUAUAAAUUCAAAAUUAUUUAUAUAUAAAAUAUUUUUGUAUUGAUUUAUUUUUAUUCUAAAUUAUAAUUUUUUUAAUGAAUUAAAUAAAUUUAAUUAUUUUUUUAAUUAUAUUUUUAAAUUCUGUAAAAUAAUAAAAACAAAGUAAAUUCGUAGCUAAUGUACGACCUAUUUACGUGGAAACCUUACGAGGAAAUGACGAGAAAAAAUAAACGAGUAUUUUACGAGAAAACAUUUACGAGGAAAUGACGAGGAAAGAUAAACGAGUAUUUUACGAGAAAAUACAUUCGUGGUAGUUACGUGUAUUUUGCGAGAAAACACUUUCAAGGUAUUUACGUGUAGUUUACGAGGAACUCGUUUCGAGGUAUUUACGAGGAAAUAUAAUGACCUCCUUACGUGGAAUAUUUACGUGGUCUUUACGACGAAAUGAUGUACUUCGUCUUUACGACAAAAUAUUUUCCUCGCUAAGUUACGAUGAAUUGGCGAGGAAAUAUGUGUUACGACGGAUGAGUAACGAGCAAACGUGUUUCCUCGCUAAUUCGUCGUAAAGCCUCUUUAACGACGAACUCACGAGGAAAACCGCCCUCGUUAAGCUUAUGUUUUCUUGUAGUGACUUUAUUAUUGACUGGACUCUCCUAUACUCGGAAUUGCAGGUGGUUCGAUCCCCUAAAGUAAAGGCAAGCGCAUAGGCUAUAGAAUCCAAAAUAGAGCUCCUUCGGCUCUAAACUGCUACUGUGCUUAUUUGGUCUAUCAGCAACUCGGCCAGCUACUGACCUAAUUGGUAACUUUUCAGUCAAGGUAUGGAUCACUCACUUCUGAGUCUUUUUGUUGCAGACAAGCUGCUUUGGUCUCACUCCUAGCUUUUCUUAUCGAAAGGAAAAAAGAAGGAUCGUCUCACUCCAGUCAAAUAUGUAUGUGGUUGGGAACUUUCUGUGCUGUUAUGAUUCCAUGAUCUUCAUCGCCACCUCUGUCCUAUAACGCUUUCCUUUAUAGCAGUUAUUGCUCCGGUUCCUGAAGGUAUAGCUCUUGCCGAGGAAUUCCUUUGAAAUCGGAGACUGUUCAAAUUUCCUACUGAGAUAGGCAAGCGAAGGGAGAACUAGAGGUAUCUUGCUAGGCAAAGAAGGUUAGAAUGUAUAGCUCGCGGGUGGGAUUGUCUCACACCGCCUAACAUGAGAAAUAUCCUUUUGGAGAACCAUUAACCAAGACAGAGAGCUUGACAGCGUCGAGGUGCUUUAGCAACUCGACUGAAAGGAGAGGAACCACACCCAUGACUAGCUUGUUUCUGCUUGUUCGUUCGCUUGUAGGUUGCUACGCUGUUUUGCGAGUCAUUCCAUUCUCUUCCCUUAAACUACUACGUGAGGAUCGGAGGGUCGCUACGAGAUUCCUUUCUUCUUAUCUUAAUAGGAACGUAGGGCGUGUUAUGGCUUGAACCCUUUCGAAAAGGUCAGGGCGAAGGGCAUCCAACCAAGCAACAAGGAAAAUUACGAGAACAGAACAAAAGAAGAAAAUACCAAUUCAAUUUGAAUGGAUUCAAAACAAGGUUACUGUAUGGAUCUAGAUUAAAAAUUCUUCUGUUUUCAUCUAUUAAAUAAGAGUGAAUUAUUUGAAAAAUAUAUUUGAAGUUAUCAAGUUGCAAAUAUUUAAUUAAACAGAUCUGACGUGACGCGAAUAAUAAGCGUGUAAUCAUUGUCAAAAGCUAAUACCUAUUGUGGGAUAUGCCCUGUAGGCAGGAGUAAGAAGGUCAGCUAGGAAAUCAACAGAUAACAACAACAACGGAGGGAAUGAGUUCCUCCGGCAUCUAGGUAGAACCUUCCAGAAAACCGGGAAAGUAGGGCAUCAUAUAGUAAAGUAGGACUACUCCCAGAAUCUAUAAUUGUCGCAAAAAGUCCAAUAUACAUACAUUAUUGGAUCUUUUGAAUAACAGUCUAGAAGACCUUAUCAAAAUGGAACAUUUUCACAUAGAAGAUGUAAAAAAGAUUUUAGACAUUUUAGAAAAAAAUAAAAAAGGCAUAAAAAAAAAAUUGAUUACAUUGAAAAAAAAAUUUAAUUUUUGGUAGAGCACAACAUGUGAUGUUCCAAAUAGAACUGUACCACAAGAAAAGAAGAAAAAAAGACAUAUAUAUAUAUACAUGUGCAUUCUUUUUUAUUUUAUACGAGGAAAUGACGAGGAAAGAUAAACGAGUAUUUUACGAGAAAAUACAUUCGUGGUAGUUACGUGUAUUUUGCGAGAAAACACUUUCAAGGUAUUUACGUGUAGUUUACGAGGAACUCGUUUCGAGGUAUUUACGAGGAAAUAUAAUGACCUCCUUACGUGGAAUAUUUACGUGGUCUUUACGACGAAAUGAUGUACUUCGUCUUUACGACAAAAUAUUUUCCUCGCUAAGUUACGAUGAAUUGGCGAGGAAAUAUGUGUUAUGAUGGAUGAGUAACGAGCAAACGUGUUUCCUCGCUAAUUCGUCGUAAAGCCUCUUUAACGACGAACUCACGAGGAAAACCGCCCUCGUUAAGCUUAUGUUUUCUUGUAGUGACUUUAUUAUUGACUGGACUCUCCUAUACUCGGAAUUGCAGGUGGUUCGAUCCCCUAAAGUAAAGGCAAGCGCAUAGGCUAUAGAAUCCAAAAUAGAGCUCCUUCGGCUCUAAACUGCUACUGUGCUUAUUUGGUCUAUCAGCAACUCGGCCAGCUACUGACCUAAUUGGUAACUUUUCAGUCAAGGUAUGGAUCACUCACUUCUGAGUCUUUUUGUUGCAGACAAGCUGCUUUGGUCUCACUCCUAGCUUUUCUUAUCGAAAGGAAAAAAGAAGGAUCGUCUCACUCCAGUCAAAUAUGUAUGUGGUUGGGAACUUUCUGUGCUGUUAUGAUUCCAUGAUCUUCAUCGCCACCUCUGUCCUAUAACGCUUUCCUUUAUAGCAGUUAUUGCUCCGGUUCCUGAAGGUACCCGGGAGCUUAGCGAAUAUGUCGCGGGUCCCUGCUUUAGGUCCUUUGACCCAAUAUCGAUGAACAAGUUGCGUUGGAACCUCACAGGAAAGCACGAACGAACCAUCUUUGCUUAUGGCAAGACCAUUAGGGAAAUGUAGACCGUCCAUUAUAACUUUGGCCUCUUUUGUCUUCUUGUCAUAUCGAAUCGCUCUUCCCGUCUUUUCGCCACACAGAAACGCGUAGAAUACGUCCCUGAUCCAUGCACGAACGUAAUAAUUUUAGCAUAUGUCGACAGAAAGUAAAUUUAUACGUUUUACUAAUAACUUGGUAAAAAAAAAAAACUUGGUAAAAAAGAAAAGUGGAUUUUUCUUUGGGUUUACAUGUUAUAAUGAAACCAAAAAUUAGUACUUAAAUAUAUAAUUUCUUGUUUUAAAAAGCUCAUGAUAUCCAGCCUACUAGUUUAUGAUUUGUCAUUGCAUCACCAUUAUAUUCCAAUAUACAUAAUGCUUAUUAUUUAGCAAAAAAAAAACUAUUAACAUUUUUUGGAAACAAAAAACUCUAAACGCAAAUGAAAAGAGAAACUUAUUUUACGUUGGGUGUUUUCGGUUUUCCUAUAUGCAAAAAAACACACACAAAAUCAUAAAAACAUAAGUGCUUUUAUCUUUAGUUUUAUCUUCACUUAUAAAUGCAAAAUAAUAUUUACCCUUUUAAGACAAUUUCAAAUUUGCAAUAUAAAAUUCUAAAACUCGUGGGUUUAUCAGGAAGCAUAUUAUUGUAAACAUUUUAAGGAAAACGUUAACAAACAACCCAAAUUUGAUUCCCGAAUUAAAUAGAUAAUUAAAGGAAGUAAUAUAGAGGUGAAGUUAUAAUACCCAAAGUGGUAGGUGUCGCUGCUAUCAUUGAAGUAAAUAGCAUCGUCUUCUUCGUCUAUAUCCAUUUGAUUCGCAAACAUAAUUUUCUGACCUUCUACCUCGUCCACGACCUUCUCGGCCAAUCCUCCGUUAGGCCCAACUUUCAUUACCCCUAAGUAACCGUCACAAAAGUACAAAUCUCCCGAUUUUUUUUCGAAGCUCAGGCCUAAGGGCCUUCCACACGCAGGUUCCACCUUAUGUCUCGAACAGUUUCCUCUUCAUUUAUACACCAAAUACAAACAUUGAAAAUUUAUCAUGUAUGUGACUCCUAUAAUCAUUAAUCUAUAAACAGAUUUAUUCUAGCCUUUGAAUUAAUAUCCAUAUACAUUUACGAUGUGUAAAUGUUUUUAUUAAUCCUUGUGGAAUAGUGAACAAAGUCAUCACUGAAAACAUAUGUGCAUGGAAACACUCAGUCUUUUGGGCAUAUACAAGUUAAACAAACCUGUCGGGAGUUGAGUAGGCGAAUUUGACCCAGCUAAGAUCCGCACCGCGCCAUUUGAGUAUGCUACCAUCGGUGACGCCGACGUAUGGGCCUUCCCCUUGUGGGUCCCAGUCCAGGCUCUCCGGUCCAUCAACGGGAAGCGGGAUCAUCGUCGCCUUGGUUAGGACGUUCUUCGAGCCCACUAUACUCUCCGGUCCGAUGAUGGAUGGCCCGACGAAGAUGACCAGGACAGCUAUAACUGCCGUAACAACGGCCCAUGUCCGAAAUUUCCGGCUUAUUGGCAUUGUUGUGUAGCUGCUAGCUUUACCUUCUCUUCCGAAAAAUGUGUGUGUUUAAGUGUAGUUUGGAAUGGCUAAUUACUCAAUUAAAUGCAUGAUUACUUUACUAGUUGGAUGUUUCAUGUUUGAGAAUACGUGAGAGAGAAGGAAUGAAUAGAGAAAAGCAUAAGCGAUGAAGAGAAGCGACCAAUAUUACUACUUUAUCUUUUUUACUUCUGUAUUUUCCGAAUAUUACUUUUCUAUUUAGUUGUUUUUUACAUGGACGAAAUGGACUUAGAGUUCAAUAAGGAUUUCUGACAAAAAAAAAGUAAGAGGGAUUGAAAUAAAGAUUUAGUACAACUGUUAAAUUAUCAAGUUGAAAGUUAAAUUUGCGAUUUUCCUAAAAAUAUUUGGUUUGUAUAAUUUUAAUCAUAUUUAUUGAUAAACCAACCGUUCUGCCAUGCAGCAUCUUGUGAGAAUCUCACUUUGUGAAAAGGAAGAACGAAAUUCCAGAAUAUUUUUGACGUGUCUCUCUGUCUUUUUUUUUUCUUUUGAAAAAUAUUCUGGUUGUGUCGGAAAGAAAAGGAGUACUAGUCUGCUUCACGUUUUCUUCUUUUAUACUUGAAUACCAUAUUGUUUUUCAUAACUCAUUUGCGAAGAUUCUCCUUAUUAAUUUACAAUCAAAGUUUAUGGAUUUAUUGUCAUAUGUUAAAAUCCCCGGAAAGCAAUUAGCUUGAAUUUUCUUAUAGAGAGGACAUAAACAAUACUAAAUCGUCACGAAAUAGCUAUUCCAGGUUUCAGAAUAAUCAGAAUUGAGAGUUGGUCUUGUAGCCUGAGAGAGUCGGCUCUUAGAUCAUAACUAUUUGAUGGUGAUGCUUGGCUGGGCAUCAUCCUUGACUUGAGCCCAACUUAUUAUCGAGCCUUUUCUGAUGCUUAAGAGUUACGUAAGACAUUUUUGUCAUUCUUCAGUGCCAAGUCUAGAAUAAUUUCAAAACUAAUAAUUUAAGAAACAACCCCAUGACUUUGGAUUAGUUUCAGAUAUAAGCCAUGUCAUGUAUUUGCUAUUUAACCCAUUAUAUUAUACUAACGAAGGGAAAAUAGAAGAUGAGGCUCGGUUCACUUUUAUAUCGAGUCCAAUUUAGCCCAAUAACAUGUCAAGACGGGCCCGAUAAUGGUCGUAUUAUAUAUCAAACAUCAUUCCCUUAAUACUCUCACUCAAGAUACCUAAUAUUAAUACUUAGAUAGAGAGUCCAUUGUGACCCUUAGAGACGUAUCAAUUAUACAUGUGUAAGACGAUGAUUAACCCGGUUCUUAGGAUGAGGUUCUUAGCUUCGACUAAGAACCGUUUCUUAGCUUUUAACUAAGAAAAGGUAAGAACCGUCUCUUAAAUAAGAGAUAUAAGAACCAGACUCUUAGCCGAAAAACAUAAAAAAAAGAAUGUCAAAUCAUAAGUUAAGAACUUCAAUUUAAGAGCCCGGGUUAAUCAUGUUCUAAUGAUAUCAUCGAAAUAGAACGAUUGAUAUCAUAACAAAGUAACCAUUGUUCAAAAACCUCGUGAAUACUCACCAUAAUAUACAUUUACUAAUCAAACAUUUUUAAAAAAAAAUGUAUCGACAUAAAUUUGUUUUCUUAAAUACGUGUGUCAAGAAAGGUUGAUAGUUUGGCAAGAUAGGAUCUCUAUUGCUAUCCCCUACUCCACUAGAUUGGUACUAAACCUUGAUAUUAUAACCAAACAUCACUCUACAACAAAAUAAAGAUAUUAAUUGUGGUGUUAGAAAGAAAGUUAACGUGAGCUUUAUAAUCAAAAGGAAAAAAGUUGUUUACACGAACAUAAUGAUACGUAGCAUAAAAUAUAAAGAUUUGGUGGGUAAACAUUGGCCUUGUGUUCUAUCGGAGGGGCACUAGUCAAUUGUCUUAACAUCGCUUGUAAGGGUAUUUUAAAAUUUAGUUUACUAUUUUGUAUUUUACGGACCUCAAGGACUAAUGGUGAAACCAUAUAGGGGUAAGAAACAUAAGGACUAUCUACAUUUCAACUUAAUUAAAUUCCACAUGAAAUUAACUUUACGAUCCUAUAUCUACUUACACUCAAAAGUGUUAGCAUGUAACUCAGAAGGAAAUAAGAUGGAUCACAAGCAAACGAAGUUAUUGGAAUAUGCAAAAGUUAUAUAACUAGAGUUUUUUCUUUUUUUUUGUCGACAAGUUGAGCUGUUAAUAUUCUCAAAGUAGAUCUCAACGUCCGGUCGUAUCUCCUAAAUAAUGGUCGAGGUUUGGUUCACCGUAUUAGGACCAUAUAUAAGCUCAUUUCUUUUAUAAAAUCUAGUUAUUAAUAAUGAUAUCACCGAAAACUAACGUGGUUCAACACUAAUUUAUACACACCGAAAAAAUAACUACAUAAACUAAUAAUAAUGUAGGCCUAUAAUUGGUAGAUACAAUGUUAACAUAUUCCAUCAAUUAUAAGACCCGUUGGGUACAACCACAGUCCACACGUAAUAUUCAUUUUCUUAUUAAUUAGGUUGCUUUUUCUAGAACCAUAAUUAGGUGACUGUAAGGAACAUAGUUUCCAUAAGUUAACAUGUCACAUAGCCCUGGGACGGAUCCGGAUAUCCGGAAAAUUUAGGGUAUCCGGAUUCGGAUCCGGAUCCGUCGGAUCCGUGGAUUUAAUAUCCGGAUCCGGAUUCGUGGUUUCCGGAUAUCCGGAUUUCGGAUAUCCGUCUCGAUAUUCUAUUAUCCGAGGAUAUCCGGAUCCGGAUCCGGAUCCGUCAAAAUAAUUAAAAAUAAUUUUUUAACAAAAAAUAUUAAUUUUUUAACAAAAAAAUAUUAAUUUUUAACAAAAAAUAUUAAUUUUUUUAACAAAAAAUACUAAAUAUAAAUAUUAAUAAAAUUUAAAAAUUUAAUGUAUUUUAAAAAUACGGAUCCGGAUCCGGAUAUCCGGACCUAAAAAUUACGAUAUCCGGAUCCGGAUUCGGUUUGCACGGAUCCAAGAUUUUACUAUCCGAAUUCGGAUCCGGGCACCCCGGAUAUCCUAUUUUCGGAGCGGAUACGGAGCGGAUCUCGGAUCGAAUCCGGAUAUCGGAUAAUAAGUCUCAGGCCUAAAUUGUCACACAACUAGCAUGUAUUUAUGAUUUAAAUGAUGAGAAAUAUAAAAUGAAAAUGAAAAUCUAUGAUGGUCAAGUGGUUAACUUAAAAGAAGCGAUAUCAAGAGUCUUCUCAUCAAACAUAUUUUGCCACUAUGAAUGUUUUAGAUGCUAAAAUAUAUCGUGAUCCACAUACUGUUUCUGAUAGAGUUUUAUUAUUAGGGAGAGUAGAUACUAGAUUGUUAAAUUUUAAUAAUGAUUGUGAAAAAUUAGACAAAAUUAAUAUGUCUAAAAUAAAAUAAGCAAAUCAAAGGUGGAGGCCACCAGAUGCGAUCAACCAUAUCUUCUUUCAUGUCACAUGCCGACGUCUCUCUAUGCGUUAAUAAUUUAGUGCAUUGACUUUGCAUUUAUACCAAUCUUAAAUCUUAUUUUUAUACCCAUGGAUAUAGUUUUGAGCCGAAUAUAAAAUCAUAUCACAAUUUACUAGUCAAAUACUAAAUAUUCGUCGAAUAUGAUUUGGAAAUUACACAAUGGGUUUCUUUCAAAGGUCAAGUCAUAAAGUUGAAAAUUUUCAAAGUAAAAUGGUAUGUUCUUAGUAUUCGUGUAGAACAAGUCAAAUAAUUACUUUUGUUUUGCUUAUUACAAGGAUUCUACUUUUGUGAUAAUAAAUGAGAAUUCGGCCUAAAGAAACCUCAACUUUGCACGAAUUGCCAAAAUAAACAUAAACUUUUGGGCUGACAAAAAAAACA
rnacentral:lncRNA from 1 species